GAGUUCAUUUAACCAACACUGACGUUUGUCCACUGGACAGGUCACUGCCAGCACCCUCCCCACCCCCCCGCCCCACGCCGGGCACUAUUCUACAGAAGGUGAAAAGCUAGCAGGGUGUCCGCUUUGAGGGGGGUCUAUGUUUGCAGGGGAGAGAGAUGAAAUGAUUCAAUAUAGAUACAGUCAGUUUUGCUGUAACGCUUGUUUCGAAAAUGCGAGUUUGUUCCAACGUGAUUGAUAUACUAGGAGCAAUUUGAGCAUAAGGAGCAUAAGGCAAAUUUUGUUUUGCUUAUGUGCGAUGUCAUCUGUGAGAAACACUGGGCGAAUACGGAGAUGUGCACCCGGCUGAGCAGGACCCAGGAAAACGCCAGCGCGCUCCGAGCACACCUUGAAUUCCUACGGGCUCUCAGCUCCCGGGAGCUGCAGAGCCUCAGCCACCCACACCCAACGUGAGUCCCCUUUCCUCCGAGU
rnacentral:lncRNA from 10 species